CGCUAGUAAUCGCGGAUCAGCAUGCCGCGGUGAAUACGUUCCCGGGCCUUGUACACACCGCCCGUCACACCAUGAGAGUCGGGGACACCCGAAGUCCGUAGCCUAACUGCAAGGGGGGCGCGGCCGAAGGUGGAUUCGAUAAUUGGGGUGAAGUCGUAACAAGGUAGC
rnacentral:rRNA from 1 species